rnacentral:rRNA from 1 species
GGAGGGGGCUAGCGUUGUUCGGAAUUACUGGGCGUAAAGCGCGCGUAGGCGGGCUGGUCAGUUGGGGGUGAAAUCCCGAGGCUCAACCUCGGAACUGCCCCCAAUACUACCAGUCUUGAGUUCGAGAGAGGUGAGUGGAAUUCCUAGUGUAGAGGUGAAAUUCGUAGAUAUUAGGAAGAACACCAGUGGCGAAGGCGGCUCACUGGCUCGAUACUGACGCUGAGGCGCGAAAGCGUGGGGAGCAAACAGGGAUUAGAUACCCUGGUAGUCCACGCCGUAAACGAUGGGUGCUAGUUGUCGGGCGGCAUGCCGUUCGGUGACGCAGCUAACGCGUUAAGCACCCCCGGCCUGGGGACUACGGUCGCAAGACUA